rnacentral:rRNA from 1 species
AGAGUUUGAUCAUGGCUCAGAGCGAACGUUAGCGGCGGGCUUAACACAUGCAAGUCGAACGCGAAAGGGCUUCGGCCCCGGUAGCGUGGCGUCCGGGUGAGUAACACGUAGGGAAUCUACCCUGGAGCGGGGGAUAACGUUCCGAAAGGAACGCUAAUACCGCGUAAGACCACGACGGCUACGGCCGAUGCGGUCAAAGAUGGCCUCUAUUCAUAAGCUAUCGCUCUAGGAUGACCCUGCGGCCCAUCAGCUAGUUGGUAGGGUAAUGGCCUACCAAGGCGAAGACGGGUAGCUGGUCUGAGAGGAUGAUCAGCCACACUGGCACUGAAACACGGGCCAGACUCCUACGGGAGGCAGCAGUGGGGAAUAUUGGUCAAUGGGCGCAAGCCUGAACCAGCCACGCCGCGUGAGUGAUGAAGGCCUUCGGGUUGUAAAGCUCUGUGGGGAGGGAAGAAAACGGCAGGUAAGAAACGACCUGUCCUUGACGGUACCUCCUUAGCAAGCACCGGCUAACUCUGUGCCAGCAGCCGCGGUAAUACAGAGGGUGCGAACGUUGCUCGGAAUUACUGGGCGUAAAGCGCAUGUAGGCGGGUCAGCAAGUCAGAUGUGAAAUCCCCGGGCUCAACCCGGGAACUGCAUCUGAAACUGCUGGUCUUGAGUACUGGAGAGGGUGGCGGAAUUCCUGGUGUAGAGGUGAAAUUCGUAGAUAUCAGGAGGAACACCAGUGGCGAAGGCGGUGCUCUGGGCCGGAACUGACGCUGAGGAGCGAAAGCGUGGGGAGCAAACAGGAUUAGAUACCCUGGUAGUCCACGCCGUAAACGUUGGGCACUAGGUGUGGGUCCUUAUCAACGGGAUCCGUGCCGUAGCUAACGCAUUAAGUGCCCCGCCUGGGGAGUACGGCCGCAAGGCUAAAACUCAAAUGAAUUGACGG